GUCUUUUUGAAAAUAAUUUAAAGUCGGGCCUGCCCAAUGACUAAGUUUAAUGGCCGCGGUAUAUUAACUGUGCAAAGGUAGCAUAAUCAUUAGUUUUUUAAUUGAGAGCUGGAAUGAAGGGUUUAAUGAAAAAAGUUCUGUCUUUAAUUAAAUUUAUUAGAAAUUUAUUUUUAAGUAAAAAAGCUUAAAUUUUUACCAAAGACGAGAAGACCCUAUAGAGUUUUAUAUCUUGAAAGUUUAUUUUAUUUAGUAUUUUUAAAUUAGACUUUAGGGAUAUUUGAUUGGGGUGAUUGAAAAAUUGAAGAAACUUUUUUUAAAAUAAACAUUUAUUUAUGAGUAUAUGAUCCUUUUUUUAGAUUAAAAGACUAAAUUACCUUAGGGAUAACAGCGUGAUUUUUCUUAGAGUUCUUAUCAAAAGAAAAGAUUGCGACCUCGAUGUUGGAUUAAAAUAAAUUAUUGGUGCAGAAGCUAAUAUAAUGGGUCUGUUCGACCCUUAAAUUUUUACAUGAUCUGAGUUUAGACCGGUUUAA
rnacentral:rRNA from 1 species